AUUUAAGUAGUUUAUUAAAAAUUAUAAUUUGUGGUGUUAUAGAUGAUUAUUUCCUUAAAUU
rnacentral:tRNA from 1 species